AAAAUGCACAGGCUGUGAACUCGAAGAGUAGGGCGGGACACGUGGUAUCCUGUCUGAAUAUGGGGGGACCAUCCUCCAAGGCUAAAUACUCCUGACUGACCGAUAGUGAACCUGUACCGUGAGGGAAAGGCGAAAAGAACCCCGGCGAGGGGAGUGAAAAAGAACCUGAAACCGUGUACGUACAAGCAGUGGGAGCACCUUCGGGUGUGACUGCGUACCUUUUGUAUAAUGGGUCAGCGACUUAUAUUCUGUAGCAAGGUUAACCGUUUAGGGGAGCCGCAGGGAAACCGAGUCUUAACUGGGCGUUAAGUUGCAGGGUAUAGACCCGAAACCCGGUGAUCUAGCCAUGGGCAGGUUGAAGGUUGGGUAACACUAACUGGA
rnacentral:rRNA from 1 species